ACACACUAAUAUUAAACAGAAAAACAACAUAAAUCAGUGUUAAACACAAACAAAUUUUAGGUAAAUUAAAUAAGGUUUUCAUUUUCAAUCAAUAUAAAAGAAAUAAACGCAAUAAAAAACAAUGUCAGUGACGUAAUAAAUAUGUGUAAAUUUACACGCAUCAUUUAUUAAGCAUUAUAAAAAAAUCCAGCAAUAUGAUUAAACUUUGGUUAUUUGUUAUUAUCCCUGCAUUCAAAUGGUUGCAGGUUGGAGCAGGAAGUUAACCCUUCUGUCGCGCAAGCGCGAACAUAGACAGUGGUCGCGAGGCCAUUCGUACGUCACGUGAGCGCCAUUUUCAUGAUAUGACCGUUUUUCCUCAGGCACACUUCAACAUUUUCUUCGCAUUUAACAUCAAUAUUAACAUGUAAAUAAUAUAAUUCGUAAACAUAACGUUUAUGUUAAUUUAUAAUAUGUUUUUUUUUUUAUUAUUGUUGGCUUUAAGUUAAUUUGUCUGUCAGACUCAGUUUGUUCGUGUUGUAACCUGUUAACAGUAGACCAAAGGUAUGAUGAUCAAUUAUAAAUGCAAUAUGGUUGAAAGGUCAGUAAACAAACAACAAAAAGGUAAUUUCUUAAUAGAAUGUCUAUACAUUUUUUGCUUUUGUUACAUAUUUCAUACAUCAAAAUCAUUAAACGUUAAUAAUUAUGUAUUCCAACUUGUUGCAGCUUGACAAAAAUGUAGCUUGAAGGAGAAGGGACAGCUGAGUAACAAAGUCCUGGUAUGCAGACGACGAUACUAUUACACUGACAAGAGUGUAAUGAUGAUGGAGACACAAGCCAGAGAAAGGGGGGACCAAACACCAGGCCAGAAUUCUGCAUGAGUCAGAUCCAGUGGGUGCAGAUCAUCAUACAGAUGGUUCAAGUGUGGAUCCACCUAAUAUUCAAGAUUUUCUGUCCUGGGACACUCGGCUAACCAUCAAGAAAGAACACACUCCAGUGGGCAUCCUUUAUCCAUCCAGACCCUCAUACAGAUGUUGGAGCUUUGAUUCACCUAAAGUACCAUGCAAGAGCACUCAUUUUCCCUCUUGAGACCAUGGUGUGACCUGCAAGGUCGAAUGGAGACUGUAAGCGAGACAAUCUUGGAGUCACCUGCAUUGACUGGUCCAGUUGUUAGUCCAAUUACAGAUGGAGAUUAUAGAAGAGGAUGAUGUCUUUUCUCCAACAUCUUUCUAGACUGAUAAAAGAUCUAGACAGGCUUGAACAAAAGUUAACAGAGGGGCUUAUAUAGAGAAUGGUGAGCAGCUACACAUAAAAGAAGAACAUGGAGAAUCUGCCCAGAGGUGUUAACCAGCAAUGCAGCUAUACAACUAAAGUGAUGCAGGCGGAAACAAUGUGUAAUGCAGCUGCUGCAGAUGAAGAAUCCGUCCGUCUACCACUGAAGGAGACGCGGAAAAUCGGGAAAAGAUGUUCUUUGCCCGAGGAAGCAUUUGAUUAAUUUAAAGAUAUUGUGUUUCUUUGUAUGUUAUAGAAAAACGUUGCUUUUUUGCAUACACUCGUGUAAAUAUGCAUCUUAUGAAUGUUUUCCUUUGUCUAAUUUUAAUAAAUUUUACGCAAUCAA